rnacentral:tRNA from 1 species
GGCGGAUGUAGCCAAGUGGAUCAAGGCAGUGGAUUUGUGAAUCCCCAUGCCCCG